CGGGAGGCAGCAGUGAGGAAUAUUGGUCAAUGGGCGAGAGCCUGAACCAGCCAAGUAGCGUGAAGGAUGACUGCCUAUGGGUUGUAAACUUCUUUUAUAAAGGAAUAAGUCGGGUAUGCAUACCCGUUUGCAUGUACUUUAUGAAUAAGGAUCGGCUAACUCCGUGCCAGCAGCCGCGGUAAUACGGAGGAUCCGAGCGUUAUCCGGAUUUAUUGGGUUUAAAGGGAGCGUAGAUGGAUGUUUAAGUCAGUUGUGAAAGUUUGCGGCUCAACCGUAAAAUUGCAGUUGAUACUGGAUAUCUUGAGUGCAGUUGAGGCAGGCGGAAUUCGUGGUGUAGCGGUGAAAUGCUUA
rnacentral:rRNA from 1 species